ensembl:rRNA 5S_rRNA 5S ribosomal RNA
GUCUACGGCCAUACCACCCGGAACGCGCCCGAUCUCGUCUGAUCUCGGAAGCUAAGCAGGGUCGGGCCUGGUUAGUACUUGGAUGGGAGACCGCCCGGGAAUACCGGGUGCUGUAGGCU